CAGCUGUAAACUAUGUGCGUUAGGUGUGUCAGUGACCACGUGUCACUGAGGUGCCGAAGGGAAACCGUGAAACGCACCGCCUGGGGAGUACGGUCGCAAGGCUGAAACUUAAAGGAAUUGGCGGGGGAGCACUACAACGGGUGGAGCCUGCGGUUUAAUUGGAUUCAACGCCGGAAAUCUUACCGGGACCGACAGCAACAUGAAGGCCAAGCUGAAGACUUUGCCGGAUUAGCUGAGAGGAGGUGCAUGGCGUAGUCGUGU
rnacentral:rRNA from 1 species